GAUGAACGCUGGCGGCGUGCCUAAUACAUGCAAGUCGAGCGAACAGACGAGGAGCUUGCUCCUCUGACGUUAGCGGCGGACGGGUGAGUAACACGUGGAUAACCUACCUAUAAGACUGGGAUAACUUCGGGAAACCGGAGCUAAUACCGGAUAAUAUAUUGAACCGCAUGGUUCAAUAGUGAAAGACGGUUUUGCUGUCACUUAUAGAUGGAUCCGCGCCGCAUUAGCUAGUUGGUAAGGUAACGGCUUACCAAGGCAACGAUGCGUAGCCGACCUGAGAGGGUGAUCGGCCAAACUGGAACUGAGAAACGGUCCAGAAUCCUACGGGAGGCAGCAGUAGGGAAUCUUCCGCAAUGGGCGAAAGCCUGACGGAGCAACGCCGCAUGAGUGAUGAAGGUCUUCGGAUCGUAAACUCUGUUAUUAGGGAAGAACAAAUGUGUAAGUAACUAUGCACGUCUUGACGGUACCUAAUCAGAAAGCCACGGCUAACUACGUG
rnacentral:rRNA from 1 species